GGGCGGAGCGGGCUACCUGCAGUCGAGCGAGAAGCCUUCGGGUGAGUAUAGCGGCGGACGGGUGAGUAAUGCGUGGGAAUCUGCCUGGUAGUGGGGGACAACAGUUGGAAACGACUGCUAAUACCGCAUACGCCCUACGGGGGAAAGCGGGGGAUCUUCGGACCUCGUGCUAUCAGAUGAGCCCACGUCAGAUUAGCUGGUUGGUGGGGUAAAGGCCUACCAAGGCGACGAUCUGUAGCUGGUCUGAGAGGAUGAUCAGCCACACUGGGACUGAGACACGGCCCAGACUCCUACGGGAGGCAGCAGUGGGGAAUAUUGCACAAUGGGCGCAAGCCUGAUGCAGCCAUGCCGCGUGUGUGAAGAAGGCCUUCGGGUUGUAAAGCACUUUAAGCAGUGAGGAAAGGGUGCAGAUUAAUACUCUGUAUCUGUGACGUUAACUGCAGAAUAAGCACCGGCUAACUCCGUGCCAGCAGCCGCGGUAAUACGGAGGGUGCGAGCGUUAAUCGGAAUUACUGGGCGUAAAGCGCACGUAGGUGGUUUAUUAAGCGAGGUGUGAAAUCCCCGGGCUCAACCUGGGAACUGCACUUCGAACUGGUUGACUAGAGUACGGUAGAGGAUAGUGGAAUUUCAGGUGUAGCGGUGAAAUGCGUAGAGAUCUGAAGGAACAUCAGUGGCGAAGGCGACUGUCUGGACUGAUACUGACACUGAGGUGCGAAAGCGUGGGUAGCAAACAGGAUUAGAUACCCUGGUAGUCCACGCCGUAAACGAUGUCUACUAGCCGUAGGGCUCCUUGAGGGCUUUGUGGCGUAGCUAACGCGCUAAGUAGACCGCCUGGGGAGUACGGCCGCAA
rnacentral:rRNA from 1 species